CCUACGGGUGGCAGCAGUGAGGAAUAUUGGUCAAUGGACGAGAGCCUGAACCAGUCAAGUAGCGUGAAGGAUGACUGCCCUAUGGGUUGUAAACUUCUUUUAUAAGGGAAUAAAAUGUUCCACGUGUGCGUUUUUGUAUGUACUAUAUGAAUAAGGAUCGGCUAACUCCGUGCCAGCAGCCGCGGUAAUAUGGAGGAUCCGAGCGUUAUCCGGAUUUAUUGGGUUUAAAGGGAGCGUAGGUGGGUUGUUAAGUCAGUUGUGAAAGUUUGCGGCUCAACCGUAAAAUUGCAGUUGAUACUGGCAGUCUUGAGUACAGUAGAGGUAGGCGGAAUUCGUGGUGUAGCGGUGAAAUGCUUAGAUAUCACGAAGAACUCCGAUUGCGAAGGCAGCUGACUAAACUGCAACUGACACUGAGGCUCGAAAGUGUGGGUAUCAAACAGGAUUAGAUACCCGUGUAGUC
rnacentral:rRNA from 1 species